rnacentral:rRNA from 1 species
GGACCUGCCCAGUGAGUUUUAAACGGCCGCGGUACUCUGACCGUGCAAAGGUAGCAUAAUCAUUUGCCUUAUAAUUGAAGGCUGGAAUGAAUGGUUUGACAAGAAUACCCCUGUCUCCUUUAGAUUAUUUAGAACUUUAUUUUUGGAUGAAAAAGUCCAGAUAUAAUUAAUAGACAAGAAGACCCUAUCGAGCUUUAGAGAAAUUAGUAAACUCAAUAUAAGUCAAUAUAAGUAAAAGAAAGGUUACUAAACACUUUGGUUGGGGCAACCGAGGAGCAGACAAAGCCUCCUUUGAUCUAUAAAUCUUACUUGUGUUGAUCCAAUAAUUUUGAUCAAAGGAAUUAGUUACCGUAGGGAUAACAGCAUAAUCUUUUUCAAGAGCCCAUAUCGAAAAAAAGGUUUGUGACCUC